CACGUAGUUAGCCGUGGCUUUCUAAUAAGGUACCGUCAAGGUACAGCCAGUUACUACUGUAUUUGUUCUUCCCUUACAACAGAGUUUUACGAACCGAAAUCCUUCUUCACUCACGCGGCGUUGCUCCAUCAGGCUUUCGCCCAUUGUGGAAGAUUCCCUACUGCUGCCUCCCGUAGGAGUCUGGGCCGUGUCUCAGUCCCAGUGUGGCCGAUCACCCUCUUAGGUCGGCUACGCAUCGUCGCCUUGGUGAGCCGUUACCUCACCAACUAGCUAAUGCGCCGCGGGCCCCAUCCUAUAGCGACAGCCGAAACCGUCUUUCAAUGUUUCACCAUGAGGUGAAACAGAUUAUUCGGUAUUAGCCCCGGUUUCCCGGAGUUAUCCCAAACUAUAAGGUAGGUUGCCCACGUGUUACUCACCCGUCCGCCGCUAACGUCGAAGGAGCAAGCUCCUUCUCUGUUCGCUCGACUUGCAUGUAUUGGCACGCCGCCAGCGU
rnacentral:rRNA from 1 species